GAGAGGGGGUGACUAGUGACCGAGUGAGGGAGGGAGUGGGUGACUAGUGACAGAGUGAGGAAGGGGGUGACACAGUGAUAGUCACCCCAUUCCUCCCUCUGUCACUAAUCACCACCUCCCUCACUCUCACUAGUCACCCUUCCCUCCCUCACUCUGUCACUAGUCACACCCUCCCUCUCUCUGUCACUAGUCACACCCUUACUGUCACUAGUCACACCCUUACUCACUGUCACUAGUCACACCCUCCCUCUC